rnacentral:rRNA from 1 species
AAGACCUUGCGCUUUUGGAGCGGCCGAUGUCUGAUUAGCUAGUUGGUGGGGUAAUGGCCUACCAAAGCUUCGAUCAGUAGCUGGUCUGAGAGGACGGCCAGCCACACUGGGACUGAGACACGGCCCAGACUCCUACGGGAGGCAGCAGUGGGGAAUUUUGGACAAUGGGCGCAAGCCUGAUCCAGCCAUGCCGCGUGAGUGAAGAAGGCCUUCGGGUUGUAAAGCUCUUUCAGCCGGGAAGAAAAGGUUGCGAUUAAUAAUCGCAAUUGAUGACGGUACCGGAAGAAGAAGCACCGGCUAACUACGUGCCAGCAGCCGCGGUAAUACGUAGGGUGCGAGCGUUAAUCGGAAUUACUGGGCGUAAAGGGUGCGCAGGCGGUUUUGUAAGUCAGAUGUGAAAUCCCCGGGCUUAACCUGGGAACU